rnacentral:rRNA from 1 species
UACAGAGGGGCAAGCGUUAUUCGGAAUUAUUGGGCGUAAAGGGCGCGUAGGCGGCCUGGCAAGUGGAAGGUGAAAUCCCUCGGCUUAACCGAGGAACUGCCCUCCAAACUGCUUGGCUUGAGUCGGAGAGGUGAGUGGAAUUCCCGAGUGUAGCGGUGAAUGCGUAGAGUAUUGGGAGGAACACCCGUGGCGAAGGCGGCUCUCUGGGACGGUACGUGACGCUGAGACGCGAAAGCGUGGGGAGCGAACGAGG